UUAAAUUGAAGAGUUUGAUCAUGGCUCAGAUUGAACGCUGGCGGCAGGCCUAACACAUGCAAGUCGAACGGUAACAGGAAGAAGCUUGCUUCUUUGCUGACGAGUGGCGGACGGGUGAGUAAUGUCUGGGAAACUGCCUGAUGGAGGGGGAUAACUACUGGAAACGGUAGCUAAUACCGCAUAACGUCGCAAGACCAAAGAGGGGGACCUUCGGGCCUCUUGCCAUCGGAUGUGCCCAGAUGGGAUUAGCUAGUAGGUGGGGUAAUGGCUCACCUAGGCGACGAUCCCUAGCUGGUCUGAGAGGAUGACCAGCCACACUGGAACUGAGACACGGUCCAGACUCCUACGGGAGGCAGCAGUGGGGAAUAUUGCACAAUGGGCGCAAGCCUGAUGCAGCCAUGCCGCGUGUAUGAAGAAGGCCUUCGGGUUGUAAAGUACUUUCAGCGGGGAGGAAGGGAGUAAAGUUAAUACCUUUGCUCAUUGACGUUACCCGCAGAAGAAGCACCGGCUAACUCCGUGCCAGCAGCCGCGGUAAUACGGAGGGUGCAAGCGUUAAUCG
rnacentral:rRNA from 1 species